rnacentral:rRNA from 1 species
CCUACGGGAGGCAGCAGUGGGGAAUAUUGCACAAUGGGGGAAACCCUGAUGCAGCGACGCCGCGUGAGUGAUGAAGUAUUUCGGUAUGUAAAGCUCUAUCAGCAGGGAAGAAAAUGACGGUACCUGAUUAAGAAGCCCCGGCUAACUACGUGCCAGCAGCCGCGGUAAUACGUAGGGGGCAAGCGUUAUCCGGAUUUACUGGGUGUAAAGGGAGCGUAGACGGCAGGGCAAGUCUGGAGUGAAAGGCCGGGGCUCAACCCCGGAACUGCGUUGGAAACUGUGAUGCUAGAGUGUCGGAGAGGCAAGUGGAAUUCCUAGUGUAGCGGUGAAAUGCGUAGAUAUUAGGAGGAACACCAGUGGCGAAGGCGGCUUGCUGGACUGUGACUGACGUUGAGGCUCGAAAGCGUGGGGAGCAAACAGGAUUAGAUACCCGAGUAGUC